UUGACAACACACACACAAAGACAGAAGGCAUUUCCAGCCAGACAGACAGCAAAAGUCAACCUCUUUUCAAGACAGGAGAGAAACAACAAACUGCAGAUCCUGGCAGGCUAGAGUGACACAGCAAGGUCUCCUGACGAUGGUGGGGAAAGACUCUCCCGAAAGAGAGAGGGGAUGGUGUGUGAGCUGCUUCCCAUGGUCCAUUGUCACCGCCUGUGUGGAGCAUACGUCGUCUUAUCAUCAGCUGUCCAUCCAUUGCUCUGUGCAACAGCGUGAAACCACGUAAAACCUACGUUGCCAAAGGCCCGGACUCCGAAUACAGGAGCUGGAGCUAAACAUCGAACAUAUGGACUCUGUAUUAUUCUGUGGGAGACCAAACAUAUUUUUCAGUUGAAUUUGGAUAAUUCCAUUGUGGGUCAUCAUGAACUUCUGGAUAUGACCCAGGACGAGAUUCUCUUUUGGAGUUUACACUUGGCAACUCCUCUGUAGUGUUUUUACAGAAUACAGACCAAAGUUAAAGACCAUGUUUUGGAGGACACAGUUGACUAUGGGAUAAGGGGUUUAGAAACUUCUUCAAGUUGAUAAAACAUGAAAUCCUGUAUUCCCACUCACACUAUGAUAGACUCUAGACAUACCCACAAAUGUACACAUGGUGAUAAAAGUGACUUAUUUCGCAGAGUAAUUGUGUACAAAUUAAUGACAAUAACUGGAUAGCAAAAGAAACAAGGCAAAGGACAUUGUGUAAUUUGUCAAUUACAUUUCUUUUGGACUACUAAACUGUACUUGUGUACUCACUGCUCUAUUUUGAACAUACAUUAAAUCAGAUUUACAUUUUCAAUUGCUACAUUUGGAAAAUUUGCAGUCAGCAUGGCUGGUUAUAGUGAAACAAGCAAAUCAUUUCUCACCAGGAAAGAAGAGGAGGAAAAUAGUAAAUCCGUCAUAUCUGUUUGGGGGAAAUUACAUGUAUUUUCAAAAGCCUAAAGUUAUAUAUUUAACAGUUUUGUAUGUUGUAUCUUUGUAGAAAACCUUAUUUAGGCCACAUUGCCAAUCAUAAACUGUGCAUACACAAUGAGUUAUGUCCUUAA